ACGAACGCCACCGCCCGCUUCGCCUUCUUCGCCGGCCAGCCACGCUGGGCGCGCGCGCCGGGCCACUUCCUGCUCACCUACGCCGUGCUCUCCGACCCGCCCUGCCAGCCCCUCCCGCUCCCGCGCGGGGCCGUACGCGCCGCCUUCCGCCGCGCGUUCGCGCGCUGGGCGCGCAUCAUCCCGGUGCGGUUCCGUGAGACGCGCGACUACAACACGGCGGACGUGCGCGUGGGCUUCCUCGCGGGCGACCACGGCGACGGCGAGCCCUUCGACGGCGUGCUGGGCCACGCCUUCUCCCCGCCCAGCGGCCAGCUCCACCUCGACGCCGCCGAGCCAUGGGCCGUCCUCCGCGAUGACGUCCACGGCGCAGACUCCGGCGCCGUGGACCUGGAGUCGGUGGCCACGCACGAGAUUGGCCACGUGCUGGGCCCGGCGCACUCGUCCGUGCCGGACGCCGUCAUGUUCCCGAGCCUGAAGCCGCGCACCCGGAAGGCGGAGCUCACCCUGGACUACGUCCGCGGCGUGCAGGCGCUCUACGGCUCCAACCCGCGCUUCAGCCUCAGCUCCCUCUCCGAGCCCGACACCUCCUCAGCCGCCCCGGCGGUGGCCACCACCAGGUCGCCCGGGAAGACGACGACGCAUAUGGCCAUCCUGCUCUUACUUGUCACCGUCACUCUUCUGCUCCUCCUCUGCUAG
rnacentral:rRNA from 1 species